rnacentral:rRNA from 1 species
AUUGAACGCUGGCGGCAGGCCUAACACAUGCAAGUCGAACGAGUGGCGGACGGGUGAGUAAUGUCUGGGAAACUGCCUGAUGGAGGGGGAUAACUACUGGAAACGGUAGCUAAUACCGCAUACCAUCAGAUGUGCCCAGAUGGGAUUAGCUAGUUGGUGGGGUAACGGCUCACCAAGGCGACGCUCCCUAGCUGGUCUGAGAGGAUGACCAGCCACACUGGAACGGAGACACGGUCCAGACUACUACGGGAGGCAGCAGUGGGGAAUAGUGCACAAUGGGCGCAAGCCUGAUGCAGCCAAGCCGCGUGGAUGAAGAAGGCCUUCGGGUUGUAAAGUAAUUUCAGCGGGGAGGCGUUACCCGCAGAAGAAGCACCGGCUAACUCCGUGCCAGCAGCCGCGGUAAUUC